rnacentral:misc_RNA from 1 species
UGGUUCUCGCAUCGAUGAAGAACGUAGCGAAGUGCGAUAUGUAAUGUGAAUUGCAGAAUUCCGUGAAUCAUCGAAUUUUUGAACGCAAAUUGCACUCUCUUCGGAGAGUAUGCCUGUUUGAGGGUCAGCCUAAAAAAAAUCGACAUAGUUGCUGUUUCGCGGUGACAAUCGUCGGAAAUUGGGUCAUCUUAAACCUUCUGGGUUUAAGCGGCUUAAAAUUUUAUUUACGAUUUCACGAACGUUUUUAAGAUUUUAUUUUCUUAUACGUUUAUGUAUCGAUCUUUUAUUAUUAGACGUGGCCAUUGCAUCGGAUCACGUCCAUAGAUAUUUCGUUAACUGACCUCAUACAGGUAAGAACACCCGCUGA